rnacentral:rRNA from 1 species
UACGUAGGGUGCAAGCGUUAAUCGGAAUUACUGGGCGUAAAGCGUGCGCAGGCGGUUUUUUAAGUCAGAUGUGAAAUCCCCGGGCUUAACCUGGGAAUUGCAUUCGUGACUGCACGGCUAGAGUGUGUCAGAGGGGGGUAGAAUUCCACGUGUAGCAGUGAAAUGCGUAGAUAUGUGGAGGAAUACCGAUGGCGAAGGCAGCCCCCUGGGAUAACACUGACGCUCAUGCACGAAAGCGUGGGGAGCAAACAGG